GGAGAAGUACUCAAGAGGCUGAAGAGGCGUGACUCGAAAUCUCGUAGGUCGUUUGCGCGGCGCGAGGGUUCAAAUCCCUCCUUCUCCGCUA
rnacentral:tRNA from 1 species